rnacentral:rRNA from 1 species
GAGCACGUAGGUGGGUUUGUAAGUCAGAUGUGAAAGCCUUCUGUUCAACGGAAGAAUUGCAUCUGAAACUGCGAGUCUUGAGUGUAGGAGGGGAGAAUGGAACUUCUGGUGGAGCGGUGAAAUGCGUAGAUAUCAGAAGGAACUCCGGCGGUGAAAGCGAUUCUCUGGCCUAUUACUGACACUCAGUGUGCGAAAGCUAGGGGAGCAAACGGGAUUAGAUACCCCGGUAGUCCUAGCCGUAAACGAUGGGCACUAAGUAGAGGGGUUUU